UACAGAGGGUGCAAGCGUUGUUCGGAAUUAUUGGGCGUAAAGCGCGUGUAGGCGCCUUGCAAGUUGGGUGUGAAAGCCCUCGCUUAACCGAGGAAGUGCGCCCAAAACUACGAGGCUUGAGUAUCGGAGAGGAUGGUGGAAUUCCCGGUGUAGAGGUGAAAUUCGUAGAUAUCGGGAGGAACACCAGUGGCGAAGGCGACCAUCUGGCCGAAUACUGACGCUGAGACGCGAAAGCGUGGGGAGCAAACAGG
rnacentral:rRNA from 1 species